rnacentral:rRNA from 1 species
GACGUAGGGUGCGAGCGUUGUCCGGAUUUAUUGGGCGUAAAGAGCUCGUAGGCGGUCUGUCGCGUCGAUCGUGAAAACUUGGGGCUUAACCUCGAGCCUGCAUUCGAUACUGGGCGGCUAGAGUCUGGUAGGGGGAUCUGGAAUUCCUGGUGUAGCGGUGGAAUGCGCAGAUAUCAGGAGGAACACCGGUGGCGAAGGCGGGAUCCUGGGCCAGUACUGACGCUGAGGAGCGAAAGCGUGGGGAGCAAACAGG